CUUUCAGCAACGGAUCUCUUGGUUCCGGCAUCGAUGAAGAACGCAGCGAAAUGCGAUAAGUAAUGUGAAUUGCAGAAUCCAGUGAACCAUCGAAUCUUUGAACGCACAUUGCGCCCCCUGGUAUUCCGGGGGGCAUGCCCGUCCGAGCGUC
rnacentral:rRNA from 1 species